UCUUCAAGUCUCUUUCCCUCACCCAAACCAGCCCUACUCAUAAUUUUUCACUCUCCCAGUUAAUGACCACUCCAUACAUCCUUCAAGUGGUUGAGGCCCAGGACUUUGCAGUCACCCACACUGACUCAUUAUCUUCUUCCAAACUCCACAUCCAACUGCUCAGCAGUUAUGCUGUUUCUACCUUCAGAAUAUAAACAGAAUCAGACAAUUUAUUAUAACCUGCAGGUGACCGGUCUAAGUCACCUGCAUUUCUCCCUUAUAACAACAACCUCCUAACUGGCCUCCCUAAUUUCAUCCUUGUCUUUUUACAGGUAAUUCUCAACGUGGCAUUCUCUUGCUUUAUGGCCUUUGUUCUUGCUCUUUUCUUAGUCUAGAAUGUUCUUCCUUUUGAUAUUCCUAUAGCUUGCUCCUUCAUUUCCUUUGUCUUUGUUCAGAUGCUAUCUUUGUGGUGAGACCUGUUCUGAUUAAGCAAUUUAAAAUCUGACCCACUAACAUUCUCCAUUCCCUUACCCUAAUUUAGUUUACUUCCUACUCUGUACUCUUUGAAUAUAUUAUAUAAUUUACUUGUGUUUAUAUUGUCUGUCUUCCCCCAACUAGAAUAUAAGCUACAUAAGGGCAGGAAUCUGUUUUGGUCACUGCUAUAUCUCUAGCACCUAGGACAGUGCACAGCAUAUGACAAUAGAAAUAUAUGUUGAAUUAAUGAAUAGUCAUAGAGACAUACAUUUAAACAUAUUAUUAUAACAUCAUGGGCUAAAUGCUAAUAACAGACAAAUGUGCAAAGUGCUGUUGAUGAAAACCAUUAAGUGACUGCCACACUUUUCAACCUUUGCUUGGUUUGUUUCCUCAUUUGGAAGGCUUCCUUUGACUGCCAUACUACCCUAACCAUACCAAGUCUUUAGGGACCAUCCUCCAUGAUGCCUUUCUUGGGGCACUCUUUUUCUCUCUGCUUUGAACCACACAUGGGAGCUUAGAAGCUCCCAUGGCACUUAUUUAACACUAUCUUGAACCAGAAACAUUCAUAUUCUUGUCUUCUGCCUGCAUGCUAAAUUACAAACUCCUUAGGAGCAGUGAUUUCAUCUUUUUCAUCUUUGAAUCCUUACACAGAAUCUCAUUCAGUGCUGUGCAUAAAGUUCUCAAUAAAUGCUGUAAAAAUAAAUUAAUACGCUGUCAAUUCUACUUGCUUUAAUGGAAUUAUUUUAUUGUCCUGAAGUCCAUUACCUGAAAAUAAUCGAUAAAGCCACUUGUAUUGGCUUUCCUAGCCAGGGAAUGCCUCUUGAAAUCUAGACUAAGAUUAAAGUUACUGCAGAAAUUUAAACAUUCAGAAUCAAUCUCCAAGGAAAUGGUAAUUUUCAGUGUGAUACACUUCUAUUUAAGAUUGCCUUUAAAAUGAAUAUAUAAGUCCUGAGGACUGGCUGUUUAACUUUCAAGAAUCACAAAGCAGAAUUGAAUUCACAGACUAACACAAAGGCGGGUGUCACUUGAAGUGACUGUCCUAAGCAAUUUUAAAGUCCAGUUGUUUUUUUUUUUUUUUCUGUGAGCAUACAUCUCAAAUUUAAAAGACAGUGGAAAACUAAGAUUUUAUUUAAGUCCUAGGUACAACUUUCCAGAACUUUUUGGAAGCACAGGAGGGAACAAUAUUCUUCAACCUCCAAAAAAAGGUAUAGUAUUUUAACAAUUUAUGCCAACUUUGAGACUUUGUCAGAAUUGGAAAAUAUCUCUAAGAUAAUGGGAGAUCUUUAGAGAUGUUUCAUACCAGGAUAAAGAUCAAAUGCCGCUGUAGCCUAGAGUUAAUAUGUUUGGUGGUUAUCAACUAGAUCUAAGGCAUAGUGAGGCAAACAAUGUCUACUCUUUGAUGCAUACAUUCUUUUUCAUUUUUGCUCCUUUCAGUUUUUCCUCUGCCCCAUUGCAGCUAGUAACAGUUUGGCCCUAUUUCAUUUGUAGUCAAGAGCUCUCUCUGUAAAGAACCAUGGUUCCCUCAAACAGUGGUACCAGCAAUAAAACUAUGAUAGGGGACUUAGAAAACCCCCUGCCCAAAAGAAAUAUUCAUAGUAAUACCGAGUGUCUUUCAGUUCAAAUAUUUAUAUAAGAAAAGCUUAAUUCCUUUUUCUGUGAGAAACCAUUUCAAAUAACUUGUUUAAAAAUACUUUCAAAUUUGGAGGUCGAACAAAUGUGUUCUGUGUAUAGAAACUAAUAACAUAGGCCGGGCGCAGUGGCUCACACCUGUAAUCCCAGCACUUUGGGAGGCCGAGCCACCGCGCCCGGGCACCUAGACCAAUCCUUGUAAAAAUUGGUUUAAGUAAGGAUUUAAG
rnacentral:lncRNA from 1 species